AUUGAACGCUGGCGGAAUGCUUUACACAUGCAAGUCGAACGGUAGAGGGGGCAACCCCUUGAGAGUGGCGAACGGGUGAGUAAUAUAUCGGAACGUGCCCAGUCGUGGGGGAUAACGUAGCGAAAGUUACGCUAAUACCGCAUACGAUCUAAGGAUGAAAGCGGGGGACCGUAAGGCCUCGCGCGAUUGGAGCGGCCGAUAUCAGAUUAGGUAGUUGGUGGGGUAAAGGCUCACCAAGCCAACGAUCUGUAGCUGGUCUGAGAGGACGACCAGCCACACUGGAACUGAGACACGGUCCAGACUCCUACGGGAGGCAGCAGUGGGGAAUUUUGGACAAUGGACGCAAGUCUGAUCCAGCCAUUCCGCGUGCAGGAUGAAGGCCCUCGGGUUGUAAACUGCUUUUGUACGGAACGAAAAGGUUUGUCUUAAUACGAUGAGCUCAUGACGGUACCGUAAGAAUAAGCACCGGCUAACUACGUG
rnacentral:rRNA from 1 species